CGACGCCACCGCCGCCAUCAUCACUACCACCAUCAUCAUCACCGUCACCAUCAACAUCAACACCAUCACCAUCGUCUGCAGCCGCCGGAGCAGCAGCCUCCGGAGCACCGUGACCGGCGACGGGGGGCGAAUUCGCCGUCGACGGCGCCGCCACCGUCCGCUGAUUGCCGCACCCGGGUAGCGUGCGCCGCUGCGGAUCCCGCUACGGAAACGACGACGGCCGUGCGGCC